rnacentral:rRNA from 1 species
AGAGUUUGAUCAUGGCUCAGGACGAACGCUGGCGGCGUGCUUAACACAUGCAAGUCGAGCGAUGAAACUACUUCGGUAGUGAAUUAGCGGCGAACGGGUGAGGAACACGUGAGGAAUCUGCCUUCAACACUGGGAUAACUCCGGGAAACCGGGGCUAAUACCGGAUACGAGCCUUGAUCGCAUGAUCGAGGCUGGAAAGUUUUUCGGUUGAAGAUGACCUCGCGGCCUAUCAGCUUGUUGGUGAGGUAAUGGCUCACCAAGGCGACGACGGGUAGCCGGCCUGAGAGGGCGACCGGCCACACUGGGACUGAGACACGGCCCAGACUCCUACGGGAGGCAGCAGUGGGGAAUAUUGGGCAAUGGAGGAAACUCUGACCCAGCGACGCCGCGUGCGGGAUGAAGGCCUUCGGGUUGUAAACCGCUUUCAGUAGGGAAGAAGCGAAAGUGACGGUACCUACAGAAGAAGCACCGGCUAACUAUGUGCCAGCAGCCGCGGUAAUACAUAGGGUGCAAGCGUUGUCCGGAAUUAUUGGGCGUAAAGAGCUCGUAGGUGGUUUGAUACGUCGGGUGUGAAAUUCAGGGGCUCAACCCCUGACCUGCAUUCGAUACGGUCAAGCUAGAGUUUGGUAGGGGAGACUGGAAUUCCUGGUGUAGCGGUGGAAUGCGCAGAUAUCAGGAGGAACACCGAUGGCGAAGGCAGGUCUCUGGGCCAAUACUGACACUGAGGAGCGAAAGCGUGGGGAGCGAACAGGAUUAGAUACCCUGGUAGUCCACGCCGUAAACGGUGGGCGCUAGUUGUGCGAACCUUCCACGGUUUGUGCGACGCAGCUAACGCAUUAAGCGCCCCGCCUGGGGAGUACGAUCGCAAGAUUAAAACUCAAAGGAAUUGACGGGGCCCCGCACAAGCAGCGGAGCAUGCGGCUUAAUUCGACGCAACGCGAAGAACCUUACCAAGGCUUGACAUAUACAGGAAUACGGCAGAGAUGUCGUAGCGGUUAAACGUCUGUAUACAGGUGGUGCAUGGUUGUCGUCAGCUCGUGUCGUGAGAUGUUGGGUUAAGUCCCGCAACGAGCGCAACCCUCACUUUUAGUUGCCAUCAUUAAGUUGGGCACUCUGAAAGAACUGCCAGUGAUAAGCUGGAGGAAGGUGGGGAUGACGUCAAGUCCUCAUGGCCCUUACGUGUUGGGCUACACACGUGCUACAAUGGUAUCUACAACAGGAAGCAAGACUGCGAAGUUAAGCAAAUCCCUAAAAGAUACCUCAGUUCGGAUUGCACUCUGCAACUCGAGUGCAUGAAGCUGGAAUUACUAGUAAUCGUGGAUCAGCGUGCCACGGUGAAUGCGUUCCCGGGUCUUGUACACACCGCCCGUCACACCAUGGGAGUUGGUUCUACCUUAAGGCA